rnacentral:lncRNA from 1 species
GGUGCAAGAAUGUCCCUGUUGUGUCUUUCCUGCAGGCCUGAGCUCUGCAAUGUGGAGAGAUCUCAGGGGAAGGAGAAAAAGACUCCAGAUGCCAAACAAGGUGCACUUCUCUGAGCUACCAAGUCAGCAUUACCUUUUUCACUUCCCCAGCCUGUCCUAGGAAUUGAAUGCUCCCUGCUGAUGUGAGACCAGGACACCUUGUGACUGUAAUGGAGCUGGCUGUUCCCCUGUAGAGCAGCCACUGUCACUCCUACCAGGAAAAACAUCAGCACAGAAAAUAAGGAGAUAUCACACUCACUGAGGAGUGGGCAUUUUUCUGAGAACUCACCACCACCACGUGAACUGACUGCAAAGGAGAACGAGUUCAAGGACGGAAAGGUUCCUCACUGGGAAUCAUGGAUCUGCUGGGUUAAGUUUGAAUGUUGAUAUCUGCAUCUUCAGACACACUGACCUGUGGGCUCAGCUGUGACAGAAAACUGAGACCCAGUGAUGUGCUGCUGAAGUCUCUAAUAACACAUCAUGCCCACAGUACCUGCUGAAAACCCACUGAAAGGCCAGCAGGAAGAGUCAGAGGGAAUUCAGCCUCACCCCAGUCCUAGCUGUGAAACAAGCAGGGUAAGCAAACAGCCUUGCUAACUCAAGCAGAGGCAAAGCAGGAUGUUUGCUGGCAUUGCCCCCCAUGCAGCCUGUUUCUGA